rnacentral:lncRNA from 1 species
UUAGGGAUAGUGCAAAAUGUCUUUGGAAGCCAAAAGAUUCAGUACUUCUUUAUCCAAGACCAUUAUUCAGGUGCUUCGUCUACUUUGGUUACUUAUUUACUUCUAUGAGAUAUGUGGUGGCCCCUUGUUUUUUAAAAAAGAGUAGUUUUUACUAGUUUUUAGUACUUAUACCAAUUUUUUCUACUCUACUUUUCUUUAUUUCUCUUUUCUUUCUAAGUAGAGAUCUAGUCUCGUGUUCCUUUUGCCUUCAACCACCAUCUGCUUCCUGCUUCCUUCUAAAGUGCCUUUUUUCUUUGCCUAAUAAUGUCAACAUCCAAUAUCUCUAUUACAGAAAUAGAUAUAGUGAUUCCCUUGUUGAGAUUAUUGGUGCCAACUUUGAUACUGCGAGUGACAUCAAUUCUCCUUCUACUCCUAUUGAUGAGAAGUUUUUCAAUACCUUGGCAGAGUUUGUGUAUGGGGUCGGAUCCUUAGUAGACUCGAUGACCCCUAAAUAGUUCAAUUUUUAGAAUGACUGCAAACACCAUAAUUUUAAGGAUUAUUUGGUUGUGCCGUGAAAGCAUUCCACUAUCUACUUUAUAUCCUAAGUAGAUGAGAGCACCAUCCAAAAGAUUAAAGAUGACGGUGGAUGGCUAAAUGAUGCCAAGUCAUCUCUCCUCUUUCUUUGGAGGAAAUUUCCACCUUUAAGCCUGGCUUUUUGAUAUGGGAAUUCCUAGAUUGAGACCCUUCACACGAAGCCAAGCAUGUGAGUUGCAAUGACUCCAAGCCUUGUUCAUAUUAUUGUCCAUGUGUGAGGCCCUUGUGAGCUCAUCUAAGGGCCUAUAUUUAAUAAAAUGUGAAGAGGCUCACCAAGACACCCCAAACCCACCCACUUAAAUGCCAAGGGUAUUUUGAUCUUUGUCCCUCCUUUAUAAGUGACUAUAUAAGCCAUGUAACAGGGCUAGUCUUGCUUUAGUUCAUUUCUGUUAUUCAAGAAACAAAAGACUUGUAAAUUUUUGACUUCUCUUUCUCAUUUGGAGAGGCCAAAACCAAAUUCUCACUAGUAGAGUGAUACUAGUGUUGUAUCUCGGCUAUAAACUAGGUUCUUAGGGUUCUUUGAGUUCCUCUUGGUCCAAGUAAGAACUUGUUAUUGAUAUUUAUUAGUCUUAGGGUCCUUUCUCUUGUUAGGAUUCUUAGAUUAAUGAAUAUUGUGUGUCAAGUUUCUAUCUCUUUCUUUGUAGAUCUUGUUAACAUUGUAUUGUUGAAUAAAAAAGUCUAGUGAAGCUGUGUGGGGUUCUUUUGAUUCACUAGAAAUAUUGUCUUUGUUGUUCUUGUUGUUAAACUCACUUUUCUAGCUCAAACAAGUGUUGCAACCCUAGUGAAGCUGUGUGUGACCAUUUUCGAUUCACUAGCACUUUAUUGUUCAUGUUGUUGUUCUUGUGUUGGUUGGAAUCUCUUUAUACACACUUAGUAUUGUAUCAUUUGGUAUCAAAUCCAUCUUUAGUUUUGUUCUUACAAUACCAAUCUUAGGCUUUCUUGCUAAGAAAAUUAAAAAAAAGCUGAAAACUGAAAAAAAAAUCUAGAAAUGUGCAAAUCUGUCUAUUUUGUGUUCUUGGUCGAAAAUUGUGUUGUUGUUAUCUUGGCCAAGAUUUGUUGGUUGUGUGUCUAGAAAUUGUAGUUUUUUUUUUGUUUAGAGUGUUUGUAGUGUUGGUUUCUUUCUCAUCAACACUAAAAAGUGUCCAAAUCUAAGAUUGAACUUGAACAUAUUAAAAUUGUAGAUGUGAAUAAGGUGUGGCCGAGUUGGAUGUUGUUAUUACCUAAACCUUGGCCGAUUUGAUGGUCUUGUUGUAGUGAAGUUGGAAACUGAAGUUGUUGUUAUUCUUGGAUUUUUUGUAGUGUUCUUAAGGUUCUUUACCCUUUCAUCAUCUUGUUAAUCCGUAAAGUGCAAACUAGAUCUAAACAGGUGAAAGACAAGCUUGUAGUAGUUGUUAGUGAAAGUCUUGUCCCUAUCACUUCAAAGACUUUUCAUCUAAUUUUCCUUGAUUUAAGGACCUUGUUUCAAGGAGAAAGUUCAAAGAAGUCAAGUUUUUCUUUUGAAAUUUGAACAAAACUGCUCCAAGACCACUUUUCCCUCCAUUUACCAAAUCCACCAAUUCCAAAUUGUUUAUUGAUCAAGACUUGAAAUUGGGAAAUAAAAUUUUGAUAAAAAUCGAGGCCAAUAGUGGAAUGUCACGUCACUAAAGUACUAUUCACACAAUAUUUUUGAGUUCAAAUUUUAGAUUUCUUAGUUUCAUUUUAUUGUUUUCUAGUUUUGUUUGUUUGCUCGACACUAAUUGACAACCUAGUAAUACCCUACUAGCUUGUAAGUUAGUUUUGUGUACGUUUUUUGUGUUAACAUUGUUUGUUUAUGUGCUUUUGUCAUUUGAAUACGUUAUAAAUCUUGGCUCUAGUCCGAUGAGAAUUCUUUGAGUUUCAAAUAAGAAUCUAUUUCAGGCAAGAUCAUACUCAUACCUUACGGAUUCUUGGGUUCCUAGCCAAGCUACAACACUUGUGGAACUUGAGUGUGAGUGAACCAAGAGAGUGUGAGUGAGGAGAGGGAUUUUAAACUAAAUUGUUUGUUGCUUUUAUUAGUGAUACCUUAAUAAUGGAGGGAACCACGUCUCAAACCGUGGAUUCUAAUGAAAUGGAGAAUAUGAGGGUCACUCUUAAGGCUAUGACCCGAGCUCUUGAAAGGUUGAGUACGAAAGUGGGAGCCAUAAGGGGAGAAGUGAUGACUAUUAGUGGGAGGUUAGAACAAGUGGAGAGUCAAAGGAACUCUCUUCCUUCUACUCCUCAACAUGUUUUGUCAAGUGAACACUAUAGAGAUUCCUCCGCUACUGUUACUCCCAAAACAUGGCCACAAUUUCCAAAUCCUUCACUAGCUCCACUAAAUGCCGCAAGCUAAACCACUUAUAACCCUCUAAACUGAGACUCCAAUAGACCAACCCAUUCCCAAAUGCCUCAAGUUCCUCAAGAGGUACUCGGACGUCAAAUGACUCCACAAAAUUCAAACCCCCCCUCCAAGCUCCACUAAACUAAAGACCACCAUCUCCACAAAAUCCAGUUCCUUCGAAUCAAGUUACAAAUGUCCAAAACCAUCCCGUCCACCAUGAUGAAUAUGGUAAAUAGGAUUAUGAAGGGUAUGGAGCCUUUGAUAAUGCCUAUAUGAGGGAGAAAGAGAUGAGAGGGGGUCGUGUGGAUCCAAGGAGAUGCCAAGGGUAUGUAGAAAGGGGAAACUAAUACCUAGAGAGAGACAUAGGCAUCAAUACCAUCAAAUUGAGCCUACCUAUCUUUAAGGGUGAAAUUGACCCCGAGGUGUAUCUUGCUUUGGAGUCGGCGUGAUAUAAAGUGUUUCAAGUGAAUGAUAUCUUGGAGGAGAAGAAGAGUUGUUAUCCCAUAGCUCAUUUUAAAGGCUAUGCUAACAAUUGGUGGGAAUACGUCAAGUGGUUCGACAAUGAGUUGGUAGUGGGAAAACCACCACCAUGGUUUCGGUUGAGGUACCUACUGAGGCAAAAGUAUCUUCCCAAAAGUUAUUGUCAUGAAUUUCUUGCUAGGUUGCACAAUUUUUGACAAGGGAAUCAAAGUGUUAUGACAUACUAUGACGAGUUUUAACAACUCAUGUUGAAGCUUGAUCAUCGGGGAACAAAUUGGCCAUGACAUUGUUUGGUUCAAGUAUGGGUUGAACAAAGAGAUCUCCACCCAUUUGAUGCUUCACAAGUUUGAUACCGUUGAGGGGAUUUUCCAAGUGGCUUUUGAGAUUAAAAGGGAGUUUAAAGAGAGAUCAUCGUUCAAGGCAAAGGGACCAUCAACCUUGGGUUGACCGAGGAGCAAACAUACAGUUCAACCAUCUUUGGGUUGGCCCAAAAAAAGGACCAACCCGCCACUACAAGGCUGCCUAAGACUAAAACAGUCCACAAUUUUCCUCCCCGGCAAGAAGCUCACAAGUAUCCUAAUCCUAAAAGGUUCCAAUGUUUCAAGUGUCAAGGUUGGGGACAUAAAGCCAAUGAAUGUCCAAACUAGCUUAAUAUGAUCCUAAGGGAAGAGAGAUUGUAUUACCUUGGUGAGAAAGUGGGUCUUGAAAAAGAAGAGAAUGAUGCUGAGCCUCAAGAUGGAGAGGAACCCAUAAAUGAUCCACAUGAUGAUGAUGAUAAUUGUGAGGAUGCUUAUCCACAAGAAGGGAAGUGCAUGGUUCCAAACUUUGUAGUGACGUGUACCAUGAUUAGUAAGGCAAUAGAUAAUCCUAUCCAAUGGGAGAAUCUAUUCCAUACUAAAUGUCUUGUGAAGGGAAGUAUGUGCACUAUGGUGAUAGAUAGUGGAAUUUGUGUGAAUGUGGUUAGUGUUGCAAUGGUGAGCUUCUUGAAAUUGUCGACUACACCUCACACUAGUCCUUAAAAGUUGCAAUGGUUUAAUGAAUGCGGCAAGUUAAAGGUCACAAGGCAAUGUGUGAUACAUUUUAAGGUAGCCAACUACCAUGACGAGGUGCUUUGUAAGGUGAUACCAAUGUAAGAUUGUCACUUGUUGUUAGGAAGGACUUGGAAAUACGAUAGGUUGACCUAAUAUGAUGGAAGGUCCAAUCGGUAUACACUUGAGAAGGAUGGCUGCAAGGUCUCUCUUCAUUCAUUAUUGCCUUCUCAAGUGAAUGAAUUACACCAGAAGGUGCGAAAAUUGAAAGAAAAGGGAAAGAAGGUAGAGAGUAAGGGGAAAAGAGAGGAACCCAAGAGUGAGGGAGUAAGGGAAACCAAAGGGAUACUAAUUUCUAAGGGGAAAGGAAGUGUGGUGAUGAUGGCUAGGAGGAAAGAAUUAUUUGUGGAUCAUGACGAGGACAUUCCGAUGCUCCUCUUGUCUCAUUGUUUUAAUACUAACGCCACUAAUAUUUUCAUUUCUCCUCCUAUUUCUCAUGUUUUGCAGGAUUACGAGGAUGUCUUUCCAAAGGAAUUAUUGCAAAGAUUUCCCCCACUUCAGGGAAUUGAACACAAAAUAGAUUUUAUGCCGGGUUCACAAUUGCCUAACAAAUUGGCUUAUAGGAUCAACCCGAUGGAUAUCAAGGAAUUUCAACGCCAAGUUGAGGAACUCAACAAAGGGUAUAUCAAGGAGAGUAUGAGCCCUUAUGCUGUCCCAAUGCUACAGUUCCCAAGAAAUAUAGGACUUGGCGUAUGUGCAUUGAUUGCCGAGCCAUCAACAAGAUAACGAUAAAAUAUCGUCACCCUAUUCCUAGGUUAGAUGAUAUGCUUGAUGAAUUGAGUGGUUCAUGUUUGUUUUCUAAAAUUGAUUUGAGGAGUUGCUAUCACCAAAUUCGUAUGCAACUGGGUGAUGAAUGGAAAACUGUCUUCAAGACCAAAUUCGGUCUCUAUGAAUCGAUGGUUAUGCCAUUCAGCCUAACUAACUCUCCAAGUACUUUCAUGAGGCUAAUGAAUCAUGUGAUGAAGCCAUUUAUCAAAAAGUUUGUUGUUGUUUACUUUGAUGAUGUGUUGGUGCAUAUAAAGUCCUUAGAUGAGCAUGUAAAGCAUUUACAAUGUGUGUUUGAUGUCCUCCAAAAGGAGAAGUUAUAUGCUAAUCUAGAAAAGUGUUCUUUUGGUGUCCAAAGGGUUGUAUUUCUUGGAUUUGUGGUGACCUCAAGAGGGGUCAAAGUGGAUGAAUCUAAGAUUGACACCAUUAAAAAUUAGCAAACUUCCAAAACUAUAGGUGAAGUGAGAAGCUUCCACGGGUUGGCUAUUUUUUAUAGAUGUUUUGUCAAGGGAUCUAGCACCAUUACCACCUUCUUGACUGAAGUGAUUAAAAAAGACUGGCCUUUCAAGUGGGGAGAUGAACAAGUUAAGGCCUUUGAGGACUUGAAAUCUAUGCUCAUCGGCCCCUUUGCUACAAUCGCUGAAUUUUGACAAGACUUUUGAGGUCGAAUGUGAUGCUAGCAAAGUCAGCAUAGGUGCGGUUUUAAUGCGAGAAUUAAAGCCUAUUGCGUACUUUAGCGAAAAGCUCAAAGGAGCAACUCUAAACUGGUCAACGUAUGAUUUAGAAUUGUAUGCCUUGAUUAGUGCCUUGUCCACUUGGCAACAUUAUUUGUGGCCUAAAGAAUUCGUGAUUCGAAUGGAUCAUGAAUCCUUGAAGCAUCUACGGCACAAGAUAAGCUUAACCGGCGGCAUGCCAAAUGGAUUGAAUUUCUUGAAACUUUCCCUUAUGUUAUUCAAUACAAGAAGGGUAAAGAUAAUGUGGUUGCCGAUGCUUUAUCCCAAAAAUAUGUGCUUGUGUAUACUUUGUCGUCUAAGUUGAUGUGGUUUGAAAGCCUCAAGUCUUCAUAUCUCGAGGACCCUCAUUUCGCUUUUAUCUAUAGGGAAGUUAGAUAAGGAUAGGUGGGUUACGAAUAGGGGUUCCCAUCCCUAUACCAAAUUUGAUGGAUACUUAUUUAAAGGUAUACGAUUGUGUGUUCCCUCAAGUUCAUAGAGAGAAUUAUUUGUGAGGGAAGCACACAAUGAUGGUCUAAUGGGCUAUUUUGGGGUCGAGAAUAUCCUAAGAAUUUUGGAAGAACAAUUUUAUUGGCCUAUAACGCACAAGGAUGUGGCCCGGAUUUGCGACCAAUGUGUUGAGUGAAAGGGAUCCAAGUAACGGAUCCAACCCCACGGGUUGUACAUCUCAUUAUCCGUCCCUUUGCGCUAUUGGCUUGACAUAUCAAUGGACUUCGUGUUGGGAUUGCUGAGGACUAGAAGGGGUGGGAUAGUAUUUUUGUCAUGGUGCAUGAGUUUUCCAAGAUGGCUCACUUUAUUCCUUUUUUUAAAUGUGAUGAUGCACCAGUGUAGCCUCUUUGUUUGUUAAUAAUAUUGUAAAACUUCAUGGUGUUCCAUGGACCAUAGUGAGUGAUAGGGAUUCUAAAUUCCUAAGCCACUUUUGGAAGUCCAUGUGGGGUAGAAUCAGUACUAAGUUGUUGUUUUUGACUUCAUGCCACCCACAAAUCAAUGGCCAAACGGAAGUUGUAAAUAGGACCUUAGGGUCUAAUCUACGGCCCAUGGUAAAAGGAAAAGUGACUUCUUGGGAGGAGCACUUACCGUUGAUUGAGUUUGCUUAUAAUCGUGUUAUACAAUCGAGCACGGGGAUGACACCCUUUGAGUGUGUAUACGACAUCAAAACCCUCACCCUUUUGGAUUUAACCCCUUUGCCAAUUGAUCUUGUGAUAAUCUUAGAUGGAAGUAAACGGUCCAAGGACAUGAAUAAGCUACAUGAUAAGGUGAAGUUGAGUUUGGAGAAGAAAAACCAAGAAGUUGAGAGGCGAGCCAACAAAGGAAGAGAAAAGCUCAUUCUUGAACCAGGAGAUUGGGUGUGGUGUACCUAAGAAAUAAUAGAUUCUCGUCUCAAAGGAAUUCUAAGUUACUCUCCAAGUACUUUCAUGAGGCUAAUGAAUCAUGUGAUGAAGCCAUUUAUCAAAAAGUUUGUUGUUGUUUACUUUGAUGAUGUGUUGGUGCAUAUAAAGUCCUUAGAUGAGCAUGUAAAGCAUUUACAAUGUGUGUUUGAUGUCCUCCAAAAGGAGAAGUUAUAUGCUAAUCUAGAAAAGUGUUCUUUUGGUGUCCAAAGGGUUGUAUUUCUUGGAUUUGUGGUGACCUCAAGAGGGGUCAAAGUGGAUGAAUCUAAGAUUGACACCAUUAAAAAUUAGCAAACUUCCAAAACUAUAGGUGAAGUGAGAAGCUUCCACGGGUUGGCUAUUUUUUAUAGAUGUUUUGUCAAGGGAUCUAGCACCAUUACCACCUUCUUGACUGAAGUGAUUAAAAAAGACUGGCCUUUCAAGUGGGGAGAUGAACAAGUUAAGGCCUUUGAGGACUUGAAAUCUAUGCUCAUCGGCCCCUUUGCUACAAUCGCUGAAUUUUGACAAGACUUUUGAGGUCGAAUGUGAUGCUAGCAAAGUCAGCAUAGGUGCGGUUUUAAUGCGAGAAUUAAAGCCUAUUGCGUACUUUAGCGAAAAGCUCAAAGGAGCAACUCUAAACUGGUCAACGUAUGAUUUAGAAUUGUAUGCCUUGAUUAGUGCCUUGUCCACUUGGCAACAUUAUUUGUGGCCUAAAGAAUUCGUGAUUCGAAUGGAUCAUGAAUCCUUGAAGCAUCUACGGCACAAGAUAAGCUUAACCGGCGGCAUGCCAAAUGGAUUGAAUUUCUUGAAACUUUCCCUUAUGUUAUUCAAUACAAGAAGGGUAAAGAUAAUGUGGUUGCCGAUGCUUUAUCCCAAAAAUAUGUGCUUGUGUAUACUUUGUCGUCUAAGUUGAUGUGGUUUGAAAGCCUCAAGUCUUCAUAUCUCGAGGACCCUCAUUUCGCUUUUAUCUAUAGGGAAGUUAGAUAAGGAUAGGUGGGUUACGAAUAGGGGUUCCCAUCCCUAUACCAAAUUUGAUGGAUACUUAUUUAAAGGUAUACGAUUGUGUGUUCCCUCAAGUUCAUAGAGAGAAUUAUUUGUGAGGGAAGCACACAAUGAUGGUCUAAUGGGCUAUUUUGGGGUCGAGAAUAUCCUAAGAAUUUUGGAAGAACAAUUUUAUUGGCCUAUAACGCACAAGGAUGUGGCCCGGAUUUGCGACCAAUGUGUUGAGUGAAAGGGAUCCAAGUAACGGAUCCAACCCCACGGGUUGUACAUCUCAUUAUCCGUCCCUUUGCGCUAUUGGCUUGACAUAUCAAUGGACUUCGUGUUGGGAUUGCUGAGGACUAGAAGGGGUGGGAUAGUAUUUUUGUCAUGGUGCAUGAGUUUUCCAAGAUGGCUCACUUUAUUCCUUUUUUUAAAUGUGAUGAUGCACCAGUGUAGCCUCUUUGUUUGUUAAUAAUAUUGUAAAACUUCAUGGUGUUCCAUGGACCAUAGUGAGUGAUAGGGAUUCUAAAUUCCUAAGCCACUUUUGGAAGUCCAUGUGGGGUAGAAUCAGUACUAAGUUGUUGUUUUUGACUUCAUGCCACCCACAAAUCAAUGGCCAAACGGAAGUUGUAAAUAGGACCUUAGGGUCUAAUCUACGGCCCAUGGUAAAAGGAAAAGUGACUUCUUGGGAGGAGCACUUACCGUUGAUUGAGUUUGCUUAUAAUCGUGUUAUACAAUCGAGCACGGGGAUGACACCCUUUGAGUGUGUAUACGACAUCAAAACCCUCACCCUUUUGGAUUUAACCCCUUUGCCAAUUGAUCUUGUGAUAAUCUUAGAUGGAAGUAAACGGUCCAAGGACAUGAAUAAGCUACAUGAUAAGGUGAAGUUGAGUUUGGAGAAGAAAAACCAAGAAGUUGAGAGGCGAGCCAACAAAGGAAGAGAAAAGCUCAUUCUUGAACCAGGAGAUUGGGUGUGGUGUACCUAAGAAAUAAUAGAUUCUCGUCUCAAAGGAAUUCUAAGUUGAUGCCAAGGGGUGAUGGCCCGUUCCAAGUAUUAGAAUGGAUCAACGACAAUGCCAACAAGAUUGAUCUACCCCCAGAAUAUCAAGUGCACAACACUUUCAACGUGUGUGAUCUCUCUCGGCUGGAAACAGUGGAGGAUGGCAAUGAUCUGAAUUUAAGGACAAAUUCCCUUCAAUAUAGAGAGGAUGAUACGGGAAUUCCUAGCUCGAGACCUUUUACAUGAAUCCAAGCACGUGAGUUGUAAUAACUCCAAGCCUUGUUCACAUUCUUUGCAAUAUGUGAGGCCCUUGUGAGCCCAUCUAAGGGCCGAUAUUUAAUAACAUGUGAAGAGGUUCACCAAGACACCCAAACCCACCCACUUAAUGCCAAGGUAAUUUUAGUCUUUGUCCCUCAUUUCUAAGUGACUAUAUAAGCCAUGUAAUAGGGCUAGUCUUGCUUUAGUUCAUUCUUAUUAUUCAAGAAACAAAAGACUUGUAAAUUUUUGACUUCUCUUUCUCAUUUGGAGAGGCUAAAACUAUAUUCUCACUAGUAGAGUGAUACUAGUGUUGUAUCUUGGCUAGAAACUAGGUACUUGGGGUUCUUUGAGUUUCUCUUAGUCCAAGUAAGAACUUGGUAUUGAUAUUUAUUAGUCUUAGGGUCCUUUCUCUUGUUAGGGUUCUUAGAUUAAUGAAUAUUGUGUGUCAAGUUUCUAUCUCUUUCUUUGUAAAUCUUGUUAAUAUUGUGUUGUUGAAUAUAAAAGACUAGUGAAGCCGUGUGGGGCUCUUUAGAUUCACUAGCAAUAUUAUCUUUGUUGUUCUUGUUGUUAAACUCACUUUUCUAGCUCAAACAAGUGUUACAAGCCUAGUGAAGCCGUGUGUGGCCAUUUUCGAUUUACUAACACUUUGUUGUUCAUGUUGUUGUUCUUGUUGGUUGGAAUCUCUUGAUACACACUUAGUAUUGUAUCACUUCCUGAGGGUUUAUACCUAUCUUUUUUCCAUGGUCCUUGGCUGUGGUCCCCGUUUACAAUUCAUACUUUAUAAGGUUUACAAAAUCUCAAGAAUAGGAGGCCCCUAUGAUCUAGAGGGCCACCAACUGCCUAUAUGUUAUCACCCACAACUUAGGAUUAGAUUUCACACCAUGCCAUUUUGUUGCUUUGUACGCCCUCAAUUGUUUAUGAGAAACUUUUCACGAUUAAGUUUUAGGGUAAUGUAACAACCUGAGACAAUCCCCUAGUCGUUACAUGGCGCAUAAGGUCCCAAGAGACCAUAAGCUAACCCAUGAGAUGGUACCUUCUGUGAGCAUUGAAUCAUAUAAUCAUGAAUGCAGAAGAAUAUCUGAAAUGCCAUAAGGUUUUAAUAAUGAAAUAACUACUUAAUUAUGAAUCUGAUAAAAAUACUAAAAUCUGAAUAGUCUGAAUAGCUAACUGUAGUGUCUGAAAAGUCUCUAACUGGAUACUGCAAGUUGAUGGAACAUGACCUAACUAACUCUACUAAUGACUGAGAUAAAGACAUGAAGUAAUAUAAUCUAUCCUCGGAUGAUGAGGACUCACCACUGCUACCGUACUGCUGAUAAUCUGAGAAUCUAGGUGUGAUCUGAGAACUGAGCGUUAGCACCUAUGAUAUGAGACAUCGUAGCACAAAAGAAAAGGUAUGCAAUCAGUACUUUGAAUGUACAAUUAAGAUAAAUGAGGUAGGCUGAUAUGCAUGGUCUCAUGAAUAGAAAUGAUAAUAAUUAACUGGACAUACAUGUAAAGCAUGGAGUACUGAAUAAAGAGCAUGGAAUCUGUAGAUACUUAAAAUGAAGGAAAAUAUAUAAAUACCAUGGAUGUAUGACCAAGCAUAUAACAUAAACUGAGUAAAAUCUGUAAACUGAUAUACUGAGAUAACUAAAAUCUUUAUGCUUUGGUCAAACAACACUAAGACUGAAUAACUGAACUGAGACUGUAAUUGAGACUAUAUCUGAGACUGUGGGAGGUAUCGUCUAACUGACAUUCCCCAAUUUGAGCUAAUUGGGGUCCAACCUAUAACCUCAGUUGGAAGAGUGUUAAUACCAUUCCACGGGUACUAACAAUUGCUGUGUGGAUCCACUAAACUAAUAUAAUGUCCAAAGGACUAAAGGUGUUAAGCCUGAAUUCACGGGUGACCAGAUAGUCAAGCCUAAUAUAAUGUGUGAAUACUCAUAUCCUAUGCUGGCUACGUAGUUCUGGAGUAUAGGGACUGCGACUAAUGACUCUGCCUAUCUGAUAGGGAAGCCGCCGUCCCUACACUCGCUCGGUGCUAAAUCCUACUCCCAACUGAAAGACACUGAGAUACUAGACUGUUUUGAGUUUAAUGACUGAUAUCUGACUAUUCUGAUAAUGCUCAUAAUAUAAUCUGAAGACUAUUCUGUAUUAUACUGAGACUAGACUAAAUAAAGAGCUAUGGUAUUCGGAUAUUCAAUACCCCUAGGACUCAAAAAGACAAUACUGAAAAGACACUAAAGCUUGAAGACCAAAACAUGAAAGCUCUAAUUAAAUAAAUCACUCUUGUAGGUAUUUUAUCUAACACUUGUACUUCAUAGUUUAGUCAAUUCAUGGGAAUAGUAUAAAACUUAAAAUAAUAGCAUAACUUCAAUAUUUAUAACACUAAAUCAUGAUCUAAUUCGAAUAAUGACAAUAUUAAAACAUGAGGGAUUUGAUAACAACAAUAAUUCCAUUAAAGUAUGGAGUAAAAUCAAUAUUCAUGGAAGUUCAUGGAGAUUCAUAGUUUUAAAUCACAAUUUAAUACCAUAAAUCUUGAAUUAAAUCACAAUUUAAUAUCAUAAAUCUUGAAAAGAUGAUAGAUUUGUAAUUAAAAUAGAUACUUGGACUUCAUGGAUGAAAGGAAUCCAGAUGAACAUCUAACAUAACUGGGAUGAUGAAUUUGAAAGGAUUGAUAGAGAGUUCUUGAAAUUUGACCUUGAUUCUUGAGAGCUAGGGUUUCUUGUUCUUGAAAGAGGGGAUUUUUAAUUUGAUAGAAAGUGAAUAAUAAUGAGUACUUAGGUCAAUAAAGGGUUAAAUUUCGUGUUUAGGGCUAGUUUAGGGCUUAGGAAAAAGACCCAAAUACCCUUAAACAAAUUUAAAAACACAAGAUGUAAACUAAAAUCUCGAUUUUUGGCCUUGACGUGAUGCACCACAAUUGCGCUAAGCCACUAGAAAAGGGACAUUGGGACUAGGAUAAAUGCCGUGAUGCACCACCAUUGCAGUAAGCCUAAGGAUGCUAUUUUGGCCAUCUCUGAGACGCGCCAUGAUCGCGAAGGCCCACUGAAAUUUGACAAAUGUCAAAUUGACCUAUGGCGCGAUGUGCUAGGAUCACGAAACUUUACUAGAUUUUUUCGAAUGGGAGAUUUGCCUACUCCGCGAUGCACUAGAGGUUAAAAUGAUAGUGUUUAAUGAUUGAAAUUUUCAAUCGCCAUAACUUCUUACCCAGUUAUUGGAUUUGGGCAAAUUUUAUAUCGCUAGAAAGCUAAUUGAAUUUCCUACGCAAUGGCAGGAUCUAAACUGAAAAAUAAUAAGUGUUUCAAAAUUUUUAUAUAUGAACACUCAUGUACUGGAACUUAGAUUAUGCUCGGGAAAUAUGGGGUGUUACAAUAUCUCCCCUUUGUGAUCAUUCAUCCCCGAAUAAAACUGGUUAAGUUGAGGAAACCGAUGGACUAAGCUUACAUAAUGAAUAUGUAUGUAUGAUGCAUGGAAUGCAUGACUGAACUGAUUCAUGAAUGUACGACUGACAUAAAAAUGAUGUGUGGCUGAAACUGAGCAUGAUAGAGAAAAAUCUUAAGAAGAUUGGUACCUUAUAAUUAAUCUGGAUUCACAGAGAAAAGAUGAGGGUACUUGAUCCGCAUGUCCGCUUUUGCUUCUCAAGUAGCUCCCUCAAUGGAAUGAUUAUGUCAAAGAACUUUGACCAAUGGAGCUUUUUUGUUCAUUAGUCUACGAACUUGAUUAUCAAGAAUUUCGACUGGAAUUUCGUUAUAGGAAAUACUAUUCUAAAUAUCUACACUUUCUAAGAGAACAACCACACCUGGAUCACUAAUACACUUUUUCAACAAUGAGACAUGGAACACUGGGUGUACUGAGGCUAGAUCUGAAGGCAACUCAAGCUCGUAAGCCACUAUUCUGAAACAACUGAGGAUUCUAAAGGGACCAACAUAUCGGGGAUUGAGCUUCCCCUUCUUUCCGAAUCUCUUCACUCCCUUUAUGGGAGAGAAUUUCAAGUACACAAAAUCCUCAACCUCAAACUCGAGAUCCUUUCUUCUCACAUCUACAUAUGAUUUCUGUCUGUUCUGGGCAGCCUUAAGCCUUUCUUUAAUCAACUGCACCUUCUUUAGUGCAUCAAGCACCAAGUUAGGCCCUACUACUGCUGCCUCACCUACUUCAAACUAACCAAUUGGAGAUCUAUAUCUCCUACCAUAGAGAGCCUCAAACGGAGCCAUAUGAAUACUGGAAUAAUAGCUGUUAUUGAAUGCGAAUUCAAUCAAAGGUAAAUGGUCAUCCCAACUACCCUUAAAAUCAACAACACAUGCUCUCAGCAUAUACUCAAGAGUCUUAAUAGCCCUUUCUGCUUGACCAUCUAUUUGAGGGUGGAAGGCUGUACUGAGAUGGACUUAGGUACGAAGACCUUUUUGGAAUGCUUUGCAGAAGUGAGAGGUAAACUGAGUACCUCUAUUAGAGAUCAUAGAUAUGGGAAUGCUGUGCAACCUAGCCAACUCUUUGAGAUAGAUAUUGGCAUAGUCCUUGGCUGAAUAAUAGGUAUGGACUGGCAAGAAAUAAGCUAAUUUGGUCAUCCUGUCUAUGAUAAUCCAUAUAGAAUCAUACUGAUGACGGGUACGAGGAAAACCUAUCAUAAAAUCCAUGUUCACUUCCUCCCAUUUCUACAUGGGAAUACUGAACUCCUACAUGGACCAACUAGGCUUCUGGUGCUCAAUCUUAACUUGUUGACAUAUAGAGAACUUAAAUACAAACUCUGUAAUAUAUCUCUUCAUCCCACUCCACCAAUAAAUCUCCCAUAAAUCGUGGUACAUCUUAGUGGCCCCUGGAUGAAUAGAGUAACAUGCACCAUGUGCUUCUGCAAGAAUUUUUUGCCUCAAACCAUCUACACUAGGCACACAUAGUCUACCCUGACAACACAAAUCACCAUCUCCCCCUUAGGAGAAAACCUUCACUUUUUGAUCUCUAACUGAUUCUUUCAACUUAACUAGACCGAGAUCUCUAUCCUGCUUUUCUUUUACCUCAAAAACUAGAGAUGAUUCUGAACUACUCUGCACCCACACACUACCUUCUGUUGAAUCAACUAAGCGGAUACCUAGUCGAGCAAGCUGAUGAACUUCUUGAGCCACUUUCUUCUUACUAUCCUUAACGUGAGCAACACUGCCCAUAGACAAUCUACUGAGAGCAUUAGCCACUUUAUCGGCCUUGCCCAGAUGAUACAGAACACUCAUAUCAUAAUCUUUCAAUAUCUCUAACCACCUUCUCUGAUGUAAAUUCAAAUAUUUCUGAGAGAACACAUACUGGAGGCUUUUAUGAUUUGUGAACACAUCUACAUGCAUCCUAUACAAGUAAUGCCUCUUAAUCUUUAAAGCAAAUAUUGCUGCUAGCUCAAGAUGAUGAUUCGAAUAAUUCUUCUCAUGAUGCUUAAGCUAUCUGGAGGUGUAGGCUAUAACCUUACCUCUUUACAUGAGGACACAACCCAAACCUACUCAGGAUGCAUUCAAUACAUAAUAAAACCAGCUGAACCGUCUGGUAGAGUAAGAACUGGGGCAGAGGUAAGUUUAGUCUUCAACUCCUAAAAACUCUUCUCACAUGAAUCUGACCACUGAAACUUAACUUCUUUCUAAGUCAAUCUGGACAUGGGGGAUACAAUAGAAGAAAAACCUUCAACAAACCAUCGGUAAUAGCCAACUAAACCUAAAAAACUCCUGGUGUCUGAUAGAGAGAUUGGUCUAGGCUAGUUUCUCACCACCUCGGUCUUUUAAGAAUCAACCCUAAUGCCAUCACCAAAAAUAAUAUGACUAAGAAAAGCAACUGAUCUUAGCCAAAUCUCACACUUACUGAAUUUAGCAAACAACUGGUGAGCUCUAAGAGUUUUUAGCACUAUCCUUAGAUGGUUUGCAUGAUCAUUUUCAUUACGGGAGUAAACAAGAAUGUCAUCGAUUAAUACUAUGAUGAACAUGUCUACGUAAUGGUUGAACAUUUAGUUCAUCAAGUCCAUAAAGGCUGCUGGGGCAUUAGUAAGACCAAAGGAUAUGACUAGAAAUUUGAAGUGACCAUACCGAGUUUAGAAAGCUGUCUUUGAAUGUCACGUUCUGUGACUCUAAGCUGAUGAUAGCCUGAUCUGAGGUCUAUCUUAGAAAAGUAACUGGCACCCUAAAGUUGGUCAAACAAGUCAUCAAUUCUAGGAAGUAGGUAUUUAUUCUUAACUGUGACCUUGUUCAACUGACGGUAGUCAAUACACAUUUUAAGAGAACCGUCUUUCUUACGCAGGAAUAGAAUAGGUGUGCCCCAUGGGGAAACAUUAGGUCUGAUGAAUCCCUUAUCUAAGAGAUCCUUUAACUGUUCUUUUAAUUCCUUGAGUUCAGCUGGAGCCAUUCUGUAUGGAAGAACAGAUAUGGGCUGAGUAUCUGGAAGAAGUUCUAUUUCGAAGUCAAUUUCCCUUUCAAGAGGAACUCCGAGAAGAUCUUUAGGAAACACAUCUGAGAAUUCAUUUACUAAAGGAAUAAAUUCAAGAGUUGGAGUUUCUAAGCUAGAGUCUUUGACUCGCACAAGGUGGUAGACACACCCCUUAGAUAUCAUCUUUCUGGCUCUAAGGUAUGAAAUCAACUAACCCCUAAGAGCUGUAGUACUACCCCUCAAUUCAAAGACUGGUUCAUUUGGAAAUUGGAAAUGAACUAUUCUAUUUCUAUGAUCAACUGAGGCAUAACAUGAGUGAAGCCAAUCCAUGCCGAGAAUGACGUUAAAAUUUGUCAUCUCUAACUCUACGAGAUCAACUGAGGCAACUUUCUAAGAUAUUGUGACCAAACAGUUCCUGUAUACCUAUCUGGCUACAAUAUUAAUGCCUAUUGGGGUAAACACUAAAAAGGGAUCUAAUAGAGUUUUGGGACUGAUUCCAAAAUUGAUAGCUAUAUAUGGAGAUACAAAGGAAAGAGAAUCUCCAGGGUCUAGUAAAGCAUAAACAUGUAAAUGAAAGAAAUACAACGUACCAAUAACUACGUCAAGAGAAUUUUACUGAUCUUGGUAGGACUGAAGAUCAUAUAAUCUAUUCAGACGCUUACCACUAGUAGCACUGGAAGGGUAACCCUACUGAGUUGGGUGAUCGGAUAGAACUGAUGACUAAUAGGACUGGCCCUGUUGGUACACAUCCCUACCUUUCUGAGCAGCUACCCGACACUCUCAAAUUUGAUGGACUGGCUUGCCAAACCUAAAGCAUGCAUCACUACCCACUCUACACUCACCCUGAUGGUGUCUGCCAUAUUUCUGACAUAAAAGAUUGGUACGAGCACUUCUAGCACUAACCUGGGACUUAGAUUGUGGUGCCCUAUUCCUAUUGCCGUUUCUAAAUUUAGGUACUGGGGCACUGGCUGAAGAGGGCAAUGGGGUUAAAGACCUUUGAUAAAACUGAGAAUGAUUACCACCCUCUGACUUUGGCUAAUUAAAGUUAAAACUACCUAUCCUAGAUCUUUUAUUUCCUCUCUCCCUCUUCUUAAUCCUUUGCUCCUCUAUCUAUUGAGCAUGGACCAUCAGUCGAGAUAAGUCCAUCUUACUAAUCAGCAUUACGGUCCUACACUCCUUAACCACACUAUCAGACACACCAGACAUAAACUUACUCAUUUUUAACCUACUAUCAGCUACCAUAUGAGGAGCAUAUCUAUCUAACUGAGUGAACUUGAGAGAAUAAUCCCUCACACUCAUGCUGCCUUGUCUCAAAUUAAUAAAUUCUAACACCUUUGCCUCUCUCAAAUCUAAUGGAAAGAAUUUGUCCAAGAAAGUCGUGGCAAACUCUUCCCAUUCUAUAGGCCCUGCAUCAAUACCUCUAUUAACUUUCCACUACUUGAACCAAGUAUGGGUUACAUCCUACAAUUGAUAUGCAUCCAACUCAGCACUCUGACUAGACGUCACCCCAAUAGCAUCCGUUAUCUUUUGAACCAUAUCUAAGAAUUCCUAUGGAUCCUUUUCAGACUUAGACCCCAUGAAAGAAUGAGGAUUCAUCUGGGUGAAAUCCCAAAUUCUAGUUGCAGUAUUAUUGGCCACUAGGUUGGCCCGAAAAGCAGCUGGCCAUUUAUUCUGCACUGCUACGGAGUUUGCUAGAGUAGUAAAUGUAGCCCUAAAUUCUACGUAAGAGACAUGCUCAUACAGAGGAUCUGCUUGGAUAGGCUAAGGGGCUAGCUGAGUUCUUGUUCUUCUUUCGUUCUUCUUAGGAGGCAUGUUCUAUAAAUAGAAGGAGAAAACAAAUUAGAUUGAGAGUUUAACUUGAUCUCAUGCUCAAUCGUACGACAUGAAUACUGAAAGAAGGGAAACUUUUUCUAAACGCCUUGUAGCCACUCAUCCAUAAGUGUGGCGCACUAUACACCCAUGCACAAGACACUACACGAUGUGGCUUUCAAAAUUCCUAGGACACUUUAAAACCUUAGCCUCUAAUACCAACUUUGUAACAACCUGAGACUACCCCCUAGUCAUUGCACAGUGCUUACAAUCUCGACAUACCACAAGCUAACCCAUAAUAUGGUACCUUUUGUGAGCACUGAAUCAUAUAAUUAUGAAUGCAGAAGAAUAACUAAAAUGAUAUAAGGUUUUUAAUAAUGAAAUAACUACUGAAUUAUGAAUCUGAUAAAAAUAUUAAAAUUUUAAUAGUCUGAAUAGCUAACUGUAGUGUCUGAAAAGCCUCUAACUAGAUACUGUGAGUUGAUAGGAUAGGCCCCAACUAACUCUACUAACUACUGAGAUAAAGACAUAAAGUAAUAUAAUCUUUCCUUGGAUGAUGAGGACUCACCACUACUACCGUACUGCUGAUAAUCUUAGAAUCUAGGUGCGAUCCGAGAACUGGGAGUCAACACCUAUGAUAUGAGACAUCAUAGUGGAAAAAAAAAGGCAUGUGAUGAGUACUUUGAAUGUAGUAGUAUGAUAAAUGAGGUAUACUGAUAUGAAUGGUCUCAUGAAUAGGAAUGAUAAUAAUUAACUAGACAUACAUGUAAAGCAUGGAGUACUAAAUAAAGAGCAUAGAAUCUGUAGAUACUAAAAAUGCAAGAAAAUUUAAAAAUAUUGUGGAUGCAUGACCAAGAAUAUAACAUGAACAGAGUAAAAUCUAUAAACUGAUAUACUGAGAUAACUAAAAUCUGCAUGCUUUGGUCAAACAACACUAAGACUGAAUAACUGAGCUGAGACCAUAAUUGAGACUAUAUCAGAGACUAUAGGAGGUAUCAUCUAACUGACGUUUCCCAAUUUGAGAUAAUUGGGGUCCAACCUAUAACCUCAGUUGGAAAGGUGUUAAUACUUUCCACAGGUACUAACAAUGGCUGUGUGGAUCCAUUAAACUGAUAUGAUGUCGAAAGAACUAAGGGUGUCAUGCCUAAACUGACGGGUGACCCCUGCGAAAUAGUCAAGCCUAAUCUGAUGGGUGACUACUCAUAUUUUACGCUGGCUAUGUGUAGUUAUGGAGUAUAGGGACUGCUAGUAACAACUCUGCCUAUCUAAUGGGUAACAUACCAUCCCUGCACUUGCUCGGUGCUAAAUCCUACUCCCAACUAAAAGACACUAAGAUACUAGACGUUUCUGAGUUUAAUGACUGAUAUCUGACUAUUUUAAUAAUGCUCAUAAUAUAAUUUGAAGACUAUUUUGUAAUGUACUGAGACUAGACUAAAUAAAAAACUAUGGUAUUUGUAUAUUCAAUACCCGCAGGACUCAAAACGACAAUACUAAAAAGACAUUAAAUCUUGAAGACCAAAACAUGAAAGCUUUUAUUAAAUAAAUCACUCUUGUAGGUAUUUUAUCGAACACUUGUACUUCAUAAUUUAGUCAAUUCAUGGGAAUAGUAUAAAACUUGAAAUAAUAGCAUGACUUCAACAUUUAUAACACUAAAUCAUGAUCUAAUUCAAAUAAUGACAAUAUUAAAACAUGAAGGAUUUCAUAACAACAAUAAUUCCAUUAAAGUAUGGUAUAAAAUCAAUAUUCAUGGAAGUUCAUUGAAAUUCAUAGUUUUAAAUUACAAUUUAAUAUCAUAAAUCUUGAAAAGAUGAUAGAUUUGUAAUUAAAAUGGAUACUUGGACUCCAUGGAUAAAAGGAAUCCAUGAAUGAACAUCUAACAUACCUGGGAUGAUGAAUUUAGAAGGAUUGAUGAAGAGUUCUUGAAAUUUAACCUUGAUUCUUGAGAGCUAGGGUUUAUUGUUCUUGAAAGAGGGGAUUUUUAAUUUGAGAGAAAGUGAAUAAUGAAGAGUAUUUAGGUCAAAUAGGGGUUAAAUUUCAUGUUUAGGGUGUGUUUAGGGUUUAGGAAAAAGACCCAAAUACCCUUAAACAAAUUUAAAAACACAAGCUGGAAAUUGAAAUCCCAAUUUUUGGCCAUGGCGCAACGUGCCACAAUCGUUCCAAGUCACUGAAAAAGGGACAACUAGGACUUGGAUAAACACCGCGAUGUGCAACCAUCACAGUAAGCCCGAUGAUGCCAUUUUGGCCAUCUCCGCGAUGUGCCAUGAUCGCGGAGGCCCACUUGAAUUUAACAAAUGUCAAAUUGACCUAUGACGAGAUGUUCUAGGAUCGUGGACCUUUAUUAGAUUUUUUAAAAUGGGAGAUUGGCCUACUCCGUGAUGCACUAGAGUUUAAAAUGACGGUGUUUAACGACUGAAACUUUAAAUCGUCAUAACUUCUUACUCAGUUAUUGGAUUUGGGUAAAUUUUAUAUCACUGGAAAGAUAAUUGAAUUUACUACUUAAUAGCAUGCUCUAUAUUGAAAAAUAAUGAAUGUGUCAAAAAUUUUAUAUAUGAACACUCAUGUAUUGGGACUUAGAUUAUGCUAAGGGAAUAUGGGGUGUUAUAGGUAAUAAGAGUGUCUUUCAAAUAUGGAUGAAGAAACCCGCCAAUAGAAAGAUAAAUAUGUGUUUUUUUGUUCCAUCUUUCUUCUUAGUGAAACCAUUCUCUUGAAAGAGCAGAAUUAUUAACAUAAUUUUUCUUUUUUUUUUUAAUAGGAUUUUACCUUUAUCUUUUCCUCAUAUCAUCCUUUCUUAUCGUAAAUAAGAUUUGGUUUUUACCUCUUAUUGACAUCCGCCCCUAGGUCUGGAGGAUUCCCAAGGUCCUUAGUCCAAGAUGAGUGUAGCUAAGAGUAUAUAUCCACUAUGAAGGGGUGGAUCUAAAAUGGUUAUGGUAAGAAUCAUCUCAUCGUUAUUCAUAUCUUUUCCACCCAUAUUCAUAUUAAUUGAUUUUUAUUUCUAAGGAUCAAAUUUAGUGUCGUCAUAGUCCAUUAGCAUAAUUUUCUUUUGAUAUUCUUGAAGGUUUUAAAUUUUUGCUUAUUUGUCAAGUCAAAGAAGAGAAUAAUCUCUGUGAGGUCGAUCCUUGGUCAAAAAUAAAGGGAAAAGCAACUAUGGCAUCCUCAUGUUUAGGAAAAAAAUUGGGGAGUAGUGGGAUCACCACCCUAUUGAAAGGGGUGGGUGGGUGCAGGUGAAGACUUCCAUUUCGACACUUGGAGUCGAUGAUUUGGAACCUUAGUCUCUUAAGGGGAUCCCAAUUGUACCUUUGGUAGAUGCCAUUCUAGUUGAGACAUCAUCCACAGAUAGGAACAUCAAAAGGGAAGUUAGGAAUUCCUCUUGUAAAUUUCCUACUGAAAUGAGUUCCUAUAUGGUAGCCCCUAUAUGUUAGUUAUUUAGGUACUGACAAGAACCAUUUCUAUGUACCAUAGAGCGUGUGCCCUUAGGAGAUGGGGAGGUUGUCAUAGUAAAAUGACCAAACCCUUUUCAAAGGUACCUUUCGGGCCUUAUUAGUAUAAGUUAGUCCAGAUUCUCAUAAAUUUUGUUCCUCUUAACCUUUUUUGUAUUCUUUAAAAACUAAUACCCUCUUGUUUUUCAGGUAUGGACAUCAUUUUAUAUGUGAAACCUUAUCUGAGAGGAGGACGAGUUGAACAUGAAACAACUUAAAAAAAGGGUUGCAAUUUUAAAGAAGAAGGUUUAUACUUUAGAGGAUUGCUUUACCACUGACAAGAAGUUUCUCAACCUUUAUAAAAAAUAAAGGCUAAAUGAUAGGGCCAAAAGUGCAGAUAAGAGGGAUAAUUAUGUCUAUCAAGAAUUAUUACAUCUGUGAACCCUUCUAAAGAAAAAAUCUAAUGAAGCCGCGACUGCUCAGGCUGAAACAAAUCUUUUUUUGGGUGAAGUUAGCUCCCUUGGGAUGUUUAAGUAUGAUUUUGAUGAGAAAUAUGAAAAAUUAGAGCUCUUUGGUGGAGUUUGAGGAAGAGGGAGUCUAGGUAUUCAACUUCAUUUGAUAAAAGUGCCUUUUGUGUAUGAUAUUAGCUGAUAUUCCUGAGUCUACCAACACUCGCUUUGCAUUGC